AGGCCUCAGAAUUUGUAAUCAACAGCUGCAGGGAAGAUCAACUACGACUGAUGUAAUGGAAGGAGUGACUUUGGAAAGUUUUGUUACUAUCUUUAGAACACAACAACGGCAAGGUAAUGCUAUCUAUUCAUGGUAUAACUGAACCUUAUUUGUCAAGAUUAGUAAGUCACUUACGGCAAGUCUGUUGCGCAAGAGAAUAUGCUGUCAAAUAAAGCAGCGGUACUGCUUUUUAGCAGAGGCGCUCUGGCUUUUUAGCUUUUUAGGNUACGAUUGCGUCACGCCAUCACACGCACUGAAUUNAGGGACCAUACUGUAAGCACUCAAGGAUUUAUAAUCAACUUGAAUUGGUUUCUUUUUAUGAAUUAAAGACUGGUCGACUAGAAAAUUAUGUUUUUCCGAAGGGUGGGCUUGCAGAUACAUGCCUCUUUCCAAGACAAGAUACUGGCCCUGCAGUGGGACUUGCAGAUGGAAGGCUCUUUGCCACGCAAGAGUCUGGUCCUGCAGACGUGCUUGCAGAUCAUGUAUGGCUCACCACACAUGAGACUGGCCCUGCA
rnacentral:misc_RNA from 1 species